UAAAUCUACCGUCAAGUCUCAUCUCCCUCGCUCCUCAUAGAAGUAAAAACCCUAAAUCCCCUAAAUUUCCAUAUUUCUCUCAAAGGCAUUUUCUUGGUUUGGGGGGAAUAUCAAGCUGAAAAUCUGCUACUCAUCUCACCACAACCUCGUUUACAUUGCUAUUUUAUUUUUGAAGUGUAUAUAUACUACACUUGGUGAAUUUGGACACUUUUCAAGGUUUUGGAGGCUAAAGUUUACAAAUAUAGAUGCGGGUUUUGAAGACAUACAAUCAGUAGACUUUUGCUUUGCUAGGAACGUUGGACAAAAUAUCAUAUUAAGUUUAGGGAUGUUAGCUAAAACUUUAGCUGAAGGGUAGUCCAAAAAAUAUUUCACCAUGGUUGUACAGUGCCACUAAUUUUGUCAGUAAUUAUUAUAUAUGAAACCUUAUCUAUCA